AUCAAUAUUUUUAUUGUUUAGAACUUGAAAUUAUAGUUUCUUGGAUGAAUAUUAACAAAAGAAAAACUUGUUGGUGUGUAGACUACACAGUGUAGUUGAAUAAUGAUAAAGCUUUUGUCGUAUGUGAAAAUUUACAUUCUAAUCAAGCAAACAUCACAGUAGAAAAUGGGUUUGAGGUUGACUAGCAAACAAGUUUAACUGUUUAUGUGUGAGUUCUGUAGUUUGUAUAUGUGCUGUAUGCUUUGUAUAUCGUUUACUUGUAGGAGUCUAAGAAUGACUGAAGAAAGUGAUGCAUGUAGAAGAAGCUAAAGAGAUGGCUGUUGAAGAAGCUAAGGGGUUGAAUCAGGUCGUUGAAGAUGCUAAAAUGUGUACACAGUUAAAACCCAAACACUUAUACUUCUCAGUGGACGUGAUCAAAGAAGACACUGAAAGACUCCGUUGUGCAUUGCCAAAAUGUGAAGUCCUUGAGUUUGUGAAUAAUGGACAGUUCCUCUUCUUGGUAAGGAGGAUGGGGUAGAUCUGGCGACUAUUCUUAAGAUUGCAUAUUAUUAUCGACGUGGGAAGAAACUUGAUUACAUUUAUGAUUACACUCUGCCUACUCCUUUUGAGCUCAAAGAGUUUGAACAAUCACAAAGUGACUCAGAUUGCUAACCGCUGUUGUUCUCGUCUUUCUCUCAACUCUAGUCAACGGUACAAUAGAAAGAACACUUGGAGGAAUACCUUUAACGGGACCGGUUCUGUCUGUUGGCAAUCACAUAUUCCUUGAUCUUGAACUGCGUCCAGCAGCAAUUCAUUUCUUGAAAAAGAGGAACAUUAUCUUCUGUGGCCUGGCACAUCCUCUGAUGUUUGCCAAAAAGAUAGGCUCAAAGCUCCCUGAUAUGCAGAUGUUCCUCACAGUUAGGAUAAUAGGCGCAGUUCCUGUCUCGAAUAUGAAUUUCUACAAGCUGCUUCGUUCAAAGGCUCAUGGGGUGUUGUAUCCUGAAGAUGUCUGUGCAGCUUUGCACAGAAAAGUAGUUAACAGUUUUUGUUUUCUCCAUGUAUGGCUUUGACACAUUUUCUGUAGAUCAUUUGUAAAGGAUAAUAAAUCAUUUACAGGACUUUAUAAAUAUCUGUUAAUCA